GCUGGCGGCAGGCCUAACACAUGCAAGUCGAGCGGCAGCGGGAAAGUAGCUUGCUACUUUUGCCGGCGAGCGGCGGACGGGUGAGUAAUGCCUGGGAAAUUGCCCAGUCGAGGGGGAUAACAGUUGGAAACGACUGCUAAUACCGCAUACGCCCUACGGGGGAAAGCAGGGGACCUUCGGGCCUUGCGCGAUUGGAUAUGCCCAGGUGGGAUUAGCUGGUUGGUGAGGUAAUGGCUCACCAAGGCGACGAUCCCUAGCUGGUCUGAGAGGAUGAUCAGCCACACUGGAACUGAGACACGGUCCAGACUCCUACGGGAGGCAGCAGUGGGGAAUAUUGCACAAUGGGGGAAACCCUGAUGCAACCAUGCCACGUGUGUGAAGAAGGGCUUCGGGUUUUAAACCACUUUCACCGAAGAAGAAAUGACAAUAGCUAA
rnacentral:rRNA from 1 species